GACCAAAUCACUUCAGGUGGUGUUGGGGCUCGCCGUACAGGCGGCCCUUAAAAGCAGUGGCGGUGCCGUCUGGCUCUCAGCGUAGUAAUCUCUCUCGCUUGGAAGUCUGACGGUGGCUUGCCAACAACCCCCAACUUAUUUACUA
rnacentral:misc_RNA from 1 species